AUCUCUUCAUAAGAAUUUCGGACCGUUCUCUGCUCUGCCCUGCUUUCCCGUGAAAACGGAGAGGGAAAGAAAAUUCGGCCAAACAUGGCACCGCAGCUAUUAAAGCUUCCCAUUGGCAGUAUCUCAUGCUUGCUUCAUACCACUCCAAGCUUGUCUUUUCUUUCUCUUUCCAAAUCUCCAAAGCUUUCUGUGAGGUGGGUCAAAGCCCAAAUUCACAGUCCCUUUAGAAGCUAUGCUGUUGCAAGUUCAGGAAAGCUUCAACCACCAAAGAAGUAAGCUUUUCUAGCUCCAAUAGCAGUUUGUUAAUUUGUUUCUGUUAUUCAGUAUUUUAAAAUGUGAUAUGGGUGAUUUGUACAGACGAUUUACAAUAACAAUUGUGUAAGAAUCAAUGCUGAUAUGUAUAUGGUGCAUGAAUCUACUACUUCUGCACUGUUUGUAUGCGAGGAAAAUGGAAGGGAGAAGAGAUGAAAGUUGAGGAUUUCUUAUGUUUUGACU